rnacentral:rRNA from 1 species
GACGAACGCUGGCGGCGUGCUUAACACAUGCAAGUCGAACGGAAAGGCCCUGCUUUUGUGGGGUGCUCGAUUGGCGAACGGGUGAGUAACACGUGAGUAACCUGCCCUUGACUUUGGGAUAACUUCAGGAAACUGGGGCUAAUACCCGGUAUGAUCUCCUGCUGCAUGUUGGGGGUUGGUAAGUUUCGGCGGUUGGGGAUGGACUCGCGGCUUAUCAGCUUGUUGGUGGGGUAGUUGCUUACCAAGGCUUUGACGGGUAGCCGGCCUGAGAGGGUGACCGGCCACAUUGGGACUGAGAUACGGCGCAGACUGCUACGGGAGGCAGCAGUGGGGAAUAUUGCACAAUGGGCGGAAGCCUGAUGCAGCAACGCCGCGUGCGGGAUGACGGCCUUCGGGUUGCAAACCGCUUUCGCCUGUGACGAAGCGUGAGUGACGGUAAUGGGUAAAGAAGCAACGGCUAACUACGUG